UACGUAGGGUGCAAGCGUUUGUCCGGAAUUAUUGGGCGUAAAGAGCUCGGUAGGCGGCUUGUCGCGUCGGCUGUGAAAACCUGGGGCUCAACCCCGGGCCUGCAGCCGAUACGGGCAAGCUAGAGUUCGGUAGGGGAGACUGGAAUUCCUGGUGUAGCGGUGAAAUGCGCAGAUAUCAGGAGGAACACCGGUGGCGAAGGCGGGGUCUCUGGGCCGAUAUCGACGCUGGAGGAGCGAAAGCGUGGGGAGCGAACAGG
rnacentral:rRNA from 1 species